CUAAGGCUUGCUCCAAGGGGGCACCGUAAACCGCCCCCCCACCCUACGUAGGGGGGCUUUGGGGGGAGCGAGCGCUCCAACGGCUCCCCCCACAGCUCCCCCUUAUACGGGGGGAGUUUCAACUCCCCCAUAUAUAAGGCAUCUUCAUCCCUGAAACGGUGCAGGAACUGAGGAACUUUUGUUGCCAACCUGAGCAACUGGGGUCAUGUAAUUACAGCCAGCAAGGCCCUAACACGUGCUACAACUUUACGGGGGCUGAACAAGACCAUCUUCUUGUUAGGUUCGAGCUCACCGGCGGGUCCAUCCUGGAGCUUGAGGUCGAGCAGGUGAUGUGACCACGCGAACUAGUCCGGCGCGUGCCUCGUCGUUCGGGCAAAACAAAUCCGGCGAACAGGUUACCAGUCUGUAUCAUCGGCAACCUGGAUUGGGUUUGCACAUGUUACGAUUGCGACGUGCAGUGCAGGGUGGAAAAGCUUGGGUUUGCACAAGGCGUCUGCUACUUUCUGGUUUCAGCUUUGUCUUGCCACUUGCUUAUGGAGCCUGCCUAACCUGAGCUCUGUUCAGUUUUUUGCAGAAUCUGUUUCCUUCAGAUGUGUUUUACGAAAUAAACUUGUUGGGGGCGAGAGUACAAGUGUACAAUUUGCAGUC